CACUUCGCCAUUUUCCUCCGGAAGUGCGGAUCCCAGCGGUGGUCGUGUAGCUGAGCAGGCCUGGGGCUUGGUUCUAUGUCCCUGUGGCUAUGUUUCCAGUGUCCUCUGGGUGUUUCCAAGAGCAACAAGAAACGAAUAAAUCUCUGGUGAGUUGUUUAUUUGUUCUUCACUUUGUUUUACACUGUAUUUUCUGAGUUUAUGGGUGUCUGUGAAUUAAAAAGGAAAAGUGGAAAUAAGUAAAACUCAGGUUGAAGGAAAUAUACAUAAAUAAGAUAAAGCUGACCUGUAGAUAUAGACAGGUUAUAAAAGCUUAGAGUUGUCUAAGUUGAGUGCAAAGUUUCCUCUGAUCUUUCUGAUGCCGAAACAAAAAAGGCAGUCAUGUUUGUUACGUGAUUGGAAUGGAACCCGAAAAGAGAGCACGCUGUAUUCUUGUGGGACAGGAAAGCUUGUGUGCACCAAGUCUUAACCACCACCUUCAUUGGUGACAUAGAUUAUGUGCUGGAACAUAUUUCACACCGGUCUGGCAGUAAGCACUUGUAGUGUUGUGCAGUGGAAACAGUCAUCUUCCGCUAAGGCAUGACGUGUUGUGCAGUGGAAAUGGUCAUCUUCCGCUAAAGCAUGGCGUGUUGUGCAGUGGAAAUGGUCAUCUGACGCUAAAGCACAGCAUGUUGUACAGUGGAAAUGGUCAUCGUCUGCUAAAGCACGGCGUGUUGUGCAGUGGAAAUGGUCAUCUGCUGCUAAAGCACAGCUUCCAUCAUAAGGUAUGCUCCUUGCUCAAAGAGUGUGGUCCCAAACAGCUUUUGGGAGGUCCUCCUUGACUCAUGGAUGAAACCCGGAACAUCUUGAGGACUGAGUUAACCACAGGUCCUUAAAUAACUCUCCACACAUUUUUCUUAGUUUAUCUCUACAUGCAGGGUGUGCAGCAGCCUGUUCAAAGUCAUAUUUUCUGGGAAAUAUUUUCAGUGUUUAUUUGCAAUUUAGCCCACUCUGUGUAGUCUUAACUUAUUUCUUCUAAACUCACCAUUAACCUAAAUAAUAGUCAAAUUUAGGGGGGCUGUAUUUGUCUUACUCGAGUCUUCUACCAUAGUUGAAACUGUCGUACCCAAGCGAGUUAGAGAGAAAUGCCACACUUUGAGACGAAUUCAGGAGUCCUUUAUUAGCUGGUGACUGAGAGAUGGCUAACACAGGAAAUACUCUCGGCCCUAAAGAAUGGGCUAGAUUUUCUUUUAUACAUUGGUUUAGAGAGGGGAGGGGGGAUUCCAGCUGCAAUAAACUUACAGAAGAAAAAACAGACAAAAAACUUAAAAAGACAGAUGGUUACAGGAAAACAAACUGUUCCAGGUGCAGAGGCUUUAAAUUCACCACAAAGUGAUGAGUGAGGGUGCUCUGGGCUUUAUCUUCCAGACAAAUGUGGGGGCUUUAUGAUAUUAUCUCUGAGUAAUUUGCUGGGAACUGCGGACAUCACUUGCCUCAGCACUUUAUCAGUUAAUUGCACUCUUUGAUAUGUUGAAAAUCAGCUUGCACAAGUUAAAGUCCUUGAGGAAAGGGGGUGGGUAAGGAGCCCUUGAUGUCUUGUAAAUGAAGGAGCCAAAUGGAGUUUGUCUGGUUUUCUCAGCUAAGGGAGAGUCUAUUCAUAUUAAAAACAAGGUUAGCUAUCUAAGGAAGAGUCUAUUCAUGUUAAUACAACGUUGGGUAUUACAAAACAUCUGUUCAUGAUCUGGAAAUUCUUCCGUGUUAGUUCUGUUAAAAGAAAAACUUUAAAGGAGUUUAACUGAGCAAUAAACGAUUCAUGAAUCGGAAAGUCCCCAGAAUCACAGCAGAUUCACAGAGACUCCAGCACAGUCAUGUGGUGGAAGAAGAUUUGUAGACAAAAGGGAAGUGGCAUAACGAAAUCGGAAGUGAGGUACAGAAACAACUCAGCGUUUGCCUUGUUUGAGCACAGUUUGAACAUUUGGCAGUGCCUGAUUGGUUGAAGUUUGGCCAUUGGGAUUGGCCAAGAUGUAGCUGUUGUUUGAGGUGCAUACACUCAAGUUAGGUUUUCAUUCUUGUUUACCUAUUAAGGUAGGUUGCAGGUCAUCCACAAGGACUCAUAUAUAUAAUUAUGGAGUCCUUCUCAGGACAUACUUAGUUCACUUUAACAAUGCCUUCCCUUUGGUUAUUUUCUCAAUUUUGAGAGAUUAGCCAAAACUUCAGUCACUGGUGUCACUAUUACCCUUGCAAAUGUACUUAUUUGGUUUAGAAACCCACUGGGAAAUAGAACAGUGAGAUUUGAAAAGGUGGAACAAGGACUUGAGUAGAAGGUGUCUUCUUAUGCUGGAAUAUCCUGUUUACAGGAGAAAAACAAAACCUGGUUUGUUCUAGGAUUUAUGUGUUUCCUUAAAGUCUUAGUUUGAUUAUGUUCCAUUUAGCAUGAGUGACUCCAUUUUGGUUUGGUUUGUUCUGUUGGGACCUAUUGCAUGAGCUUAGUUCAAAACAAUGGCCUCCCAGAAUUUUGCUUAAAAAAUUCCUCCUUUUGGCUGGGCACGGUGGCUCAUGCCUGUAAUCCCAGCACUUUGGGAGGCCGAGGUGGGCAGAUCACGAGAUCAGGAGAUUGAGACCAUCCUUGCUAAUACGGCGAAACCUCAUCUCUACUAAAUACACAAAAAAAUAGCCAAGAAUGCUGGCGGGUGCCUGUAGUCCCAGCUACUCAGGAGGCUGAGGCAGGAGAAUGGCCUGAACCCGGGAGGCAGAGCUUGCAGUGAGCCGAGAUCAUGCCACUGCACUCCACUCUGGGGGACAGAGCAAGACUCUGUCUCAGAAAAAGAAAAUCCUCCUUUUCAGUCAAGUUCUCACUUAGUUGAGAGUGUGACCAAAAUGUAGGGCCUUAGCCUCACUCUUAGUUACCAUUGUUUUGGGUUUCCGGUUUAGCACAUCACUCCCAUUGUUUUGGGUAAUGGUUUUAGCACGUCACUCCCAUUGUUUUGGGUUUCUGGUUUAGCACGUCACUCCCAUUGUUUUGGGUUCUGGUUUUAGUACAUCACUCCCAUUGUUUUGGGUUCCGGUUUUAGUACAUCAGUCCCAUUGUUUUGGGUUUCUGGUUUAGCAUGUCACUCCCAUUGUUUUGGGUUUCUGGUUUAGCAUGUCACUCAUAGGUUACGGUGUCCUUAUGGUUGCACAUUUUUUUUAAUCUGUUGUCAUUCCAGAUGAAGAGAUACCAUUUGACAUUUUAGAGAUGGCUGCAUGCAAACUCUUAAAACAUUUGAGUAAGUACAGUGCACCAGGGAGACUCUUAUGACUAUUGGGAUAACACCAAGAAUUUGGUAUAUGCUCCUUACUCCGGGUCCCCAUAAAUCAAACCACCUAAAAUCAAAUAGAUUAAAGAAUGAAUUAGAUAAAGAG